rnacentral:rRNA from 1 species
GAUGAACGCUAGCGGGAGGCCUAACACAUGCAAGCCGAGCGGUAUUUAUUCUUCGGAAUAGAGAGAGCGGCGUACGGGUGCGGAACACGUGUGCAACCUGCCUUUAUCAGGGGGAUAGCCUUUCGAAAGGAAGAUUAAUACCCCAUAAUAUAUUGAUUGGCAUCAAUUGAUAUUGAAAACUCCGGUGGAUAAAGAUGGGCACGCGCAAGAUUAGAUAGUUGGUGAGGUAACGGCUCACCAAGUCGAUGAUCCUUAGGGGGCCUGAGAGGGUGAUCCCCCACACUGGUACUGAGACACGGACCAGACUCCUACGGGAGGCAGCAGUGAGGAAUAUUGGACAAUGGGUGAGAGCCUGAUCCAGCCAUCCCACGUGAAGGACGACGGUUCUAUGGAUUGUAAACUUCUUUUAUAUAGGGAUAAACCUACUUACGUGUAAGUAGCUGAAGGUACUAUAUGAAUAAGCACCGGCUAACUCCGUGCCAGCCGCCGCCGUAA